UUACGGCCACAUCAUGUUGAAACACCAGUUCCCGUACGAUCAUCGACGUUAAGCAAUGUCGAGCCUGAUCAGUACCUAGUUGGGUGACUGCUUGGAAAUACUAGGUGCUGCAAG